AGGAUUAGAAGAAAAAACAACAGGGAUUGCCUCAGUAACGGCGAGUGAAGCGGCAACAGCUCAAAUUUGAAAGCUGGCUCUUGCAGGGCCCGCGUUGUAAUUUGCAGAGGAUGCUUCGGGUGCGGCGCCGGUCUAAGUUCUUUGGAACAAGGCAUCACAGAGGGUGAGAAUCCCGUAUGUGACUGGCUGCUCGCGCCCGUGUGAAGCUCCUUCGACGAGUCGAGUUGUUUGGGAAUGCAGCUCUAAAUGGGUGGUGUACUUCAUCUAAAGCUAAAUAUUGGGUCUAGACCGAUAGCGCACAAGUAGAGUGAUCGAAAGAUGAAAAGCACUUUGGAAAGAGAGUUAAACAGUACGUGAAAUUGUUGAAAGGGAAGCGCUUGCAAUUAGACUUGCGCUGCGCCGAUCAGCCUGGGUUCUCCCUGGUGCACUCGGCGCAGCGCAGGCCAGCAUCAGUUUCGGCGGCUGGAUAAAGAUCUAGGGAACGUGGGUCGCUUCGGCGAUCGUUAUAGCCCUGGGUGCAAUGCAGCCUGCUGGGGCUGAGGACCGCGCUUCGGCUAGGAUGCUGGCGUAAUGGUUGUAAGCGACCCGUCUUGAAACACGGACCAAGGAGUCUAACAUUUCUGCGAGUAUUUGGGCGUCAAACCCAUAUGCGUAAUGAAAGUGAACGGAGGUGAGAACCCUUAAGGGCGCAUCAUCGACCGAUCCUGAUGUCUUCGGAUGGAUUUGAGUAGGAGCAAAAAUGUUGGGACCCGAAAGAUGGUGAACUAUGCCUGAAUAGGGUGAAGCCAGAGGAAACUCUGGUGGAGGCUCGCAGUGGUUCUGACGUGCAAAUCGAUCAACAAAUUUGGGUAUAGGGGCGAAAGACUAAUCGAACCAUUGACCUGUGGGCUACUGGUGGUUGAGAGAUAUACCUAUAUCUAGUUCCCCGCGUAGCGGAGAGCUACACUACAAAAUUGCUGGGACGUUCUUACUGCCUAAAUUACCGUUCCCUCCACUGAAAGGUGGGGGAACACCAGUCUUUUUCUGGGCGAGGUAACAACAUUUAGGAUUGGACAACCCGCAGCCACAACCUAAGGCAGUGUCGCAACUCGCUAUGGUUGGGGUUCAUCGACUAGAUGGUAGUGGGUAGCUGCUGAUUGAUCUCAGCGCUGCCUAAGGUAUAGUCAGACUAUAUUAGCGAGAUAUAGGAUCCGCCCGUCC
rnacentral:rRNA from 1 species